AGAUAAUGAGCUUGAAAUAAGUGUAUAUUUUGAAAAUAUAAGAUAGAAUUGUAAUUCUAUUAUCUU
rnacentral:tRNA from 1 species